rnacentral:tRNA from 1 species
CAAAACACAACUUUAUAGUGAAGUAUUUCAUUUACAUUGAGGGUGGUUCUGUGCGAUUCAGGAUGUUUUGA